ACGUGAGAGAGAAGAGCAAGUGCUCUAGGGAAAUGAGUCAGGGCCCCGGAGGAAGGGCCGGGAGCCCCUGGGGGUCUAAAAGGCUCCCUGGUGACAUUGAUGCCAGGACCAGAAAGACAAGAGCAGCCAGCCCUGCACACUCUGUGAGCAGUGAUCUGGGGGGGAGCUCAAAGGUGCAGAGACUCGGAGGCAGAAGAGAAUUUGGCCGGAGAGCAGAGCCCAACAGAACUCGGAACCCGGUCACCAGGCACCACGUUCUAGAGAAGCCCCUGCCCAGCUCGCUCGGCCAGAGCCCUGGAACGAGCAACGUGCCCUCCUGCUGCGUCCUGAGGCCGCGGUCACAGACGCAUCUCGCCAUUUCCCCGGAGGCACCCUAAGGUGACACAGAGCUCCACUCGGGAGAUCAGUGAGGCUGGUCGACGGGGACACUCCCUCCGUCUCCCUGAGUGAGGGGUAUCCACACGGCCCACGAGGGCAGCACAGGCUGGGGCGAGCGCCAACAUGAAGGGGUCUCCAGAACGAGGACCCCAGAUGGCCUGGGAAGGUCACCUGCACCCGCUCCUGUGGAGACCCAGAGCCAGCCCUGGACCCGCCAGCCCUGCAGGGAGGACCGGCUCCGGCUCCGCCCUCAGUGCCGGCUCUGACCCACACCUUCUACCUGCUCCCCCCAACCCAGAACUUUCCUUCCCCUCCCCUGUUAUUUCUGUUCUGUUUUUGCUUUUUUAAUUUUUACUUUUUCAUUUUACAUUAUUUGCGAUGUCUUUUAUUUUAGGCCUUAAUAUAGUGGCAUUUAAUUUUUUU